rnacentral:sRNA from 1 species
UGUCGUGCUUUCCCUCGAGCUCCCCAGCAAACACUGAAAUCUCCUGCAUAGCGUAUAGACAGAGGCCUCAUCCUGCAGGACACAUGCAAGCUUCUCUGAAGAGAAACAAAGCGGCAGCUACGACGGCUACGACGGCCACGACCGGUAAUGGUGUUGGAGGGAAGGACAGGGGAACUCCGCAGCCUGGACCCCAGGCCCACAGGAGAGGUGGCAGCAUGCCCCGGCCCUCCUGCUGAUGUCAGGAGGCUGGACAGCCAAGAAGGAAGAAAAUGGACUCCCUCCUUCUGAAGACUCGCCAGCUGCCAGUGAGUGUGAGCUUUUGCAGGCUCCUGCAGUAGAUGUUAGGUGUUGAUACGAACCACACGUGUUCAAUGUUCGGGUUGUUUGUUGAUAUUCACAAUUUAUCUAAUAAAACCAUAAUCUGUGAAAA